rnacentral:rRNA from 1 species
GAUGAACGCUGGCGGCGUGCCUAAUACAUGCAAGUCGAGCGGUAAGGCCACUUCGGUGGUACACGAGCGGCGGACGGCUGAGUAACACGUAGGAACGUACCCCAAAGUGAGGGAUAAGCGCCGGAAACGGCGUCUAAUACCGCAUGUGGUCUUCGGACUAAAGCUCCGGCGCUUUGGGAACGGCCUGCGCAUGAUUAGCUUGUUGGUAAGGUAAUGGCUUACCAAGGCGACGAUCAUUAGCUGGUCUGAGAGGAUGAUCAGUCAGACUGGGACUGGGACACGGCCCAGACUCCUACGGGAGGCAGCAGUAGGGAAUCUUCCACAAUGGGCGAAAGCCUGAUGGAGCAACGCCGCGUGCAGGAUGAAUGCCUUCGGGUUGUAAACUGCUUUUAUCUGUGACGAUUAUGACGGUAGCAGAUGAAUAAGGAUCGGCUAACUCCGUGCCAGCAGCCGCCGUAA